GCCUCCAUAGUUAAGUGGUAUAACGUAUCAAUGGUAAUGAUGAAUCCUCAGUUCGAUUCUGGGUGGAGGCAUCA
rnacentral:tRNA from 1 species